CGCAGGGUAGAGGAGUUCGGUCGUCCUCGCCAGUCUCAUAAACUGGAAAUCGCAUCUAAGAGGUUCAAAUCCCGCCCCUGCUA
rnacentral:tRNA from 1 species